rnacentral:rRNA from 1 species
UACGGAGGGUGCGAGCGUUGUUCGGAAUCACUGGGCGUAAAGGGCGUGUAGGCGGUCCGCUAAGUCUGAUGUGAAAGCCCGGGGCUCACCCCCGGAAGGGCAUUGGAAACUGACGGACUCGAGUCCCGAAGAGGAGGGUGGAAUUCCUGGUGUAGCGGUGAAAUGCGUAGAUAUCAGGAGGAACACCGGUAGCGAAGGCGGGUCUCUGGGCAGUAACUGACGCUGAGGAGCGAAAGCGUGGGGAGCGAACAGG